rnacentral:rRNA from 1 species
UCAAGCUGAAAAGAGCGCAAGGGGAAUGCCUUGGCAUCAGGAGCCGACGAAGGACGUGACAAGCUGCGAUAAGCCACGGGGAGGAGCAAAUAUCCGCUAUAUCCGUGGAUUUCCGAAUGGGGGAACCCGCUCAAGCAAUACUUGAGCAUCGUGCGUUGAAUCAAAUAGGCGUACGAAGGGAACGGCCUGAACUGAAACAUCUAAGUAGGGCCAGGAAAAGACAUCAACCGAGAUUCCGCUAGUAGUGGCGAGCGAACGCGGAGGAGGCCAAACCGAGGGACGCAAGUUCUUCGGGGUUGCGGACAGACAUCAUGACCAGAGGUAAUUAAGAGAACGGCGUGGGAAAGCCGGCCACAGAAGGUGAGAGCCCUGUAUCUGAAAAUGAAGACUGGCAGUCUGGAUCCAGAGUACCGCGGGACACGUGAAACCCCGUGGGAAACCGGGUGGACCACCAUCCAAGCCUAAAUACUACCUGAUGACCGAUAGAGGAGCAGUACCGUGAGGGAAAGGUGAAAAGGACCCCGGGAGGGGAGUGAAAGAGAACCUGAAACCUUGUGCUUACAAGCAGUCAAAGCACGUUAACGUGUGAUGACGUACUUUUUGUAGAACGGUCCGGCGAGUUAUAGUAACGAGCAAGCUUAAGGUAUUGAGUACCGGAGGCGAAGCGAGAGCGAGUCUGAAUAGGGCGUAAAGUUCGUUGCCAUAGACCCGAAACCGGGUGACCUAUCCAUGAGCAGGCUGAAGUGAGAGUAAAAUCUCAUGGAGGGCCGAACCGACCCCCGUUGCAAUGGUGGCGGAUGACUUGUGGAUAGCGGAGAAAUUCCAAUCGAACUCGGAGAUAGCUGGUUCUCCCCGAAAUAGCUUUAGGGCUAGCGUUGUGUUAGAUUACCGGAGGUAAAGCACUGAAUGGUUUAGGGGCUGAUAAAGUUACCGACGCCUAUCAAACUCUGAAUGCCGGAUAAUUGAUGCACAGCAGUCAGACAGUGUGAGAUAAGUUUCAUUGUCAAAAGGGAAACAGCCCAGACCUACAGCUAAGGUCCCGAAUAGAUGCUAAGUGGAAAACGAUGUGGAGUUGCGAAAACAACCAGGAUGUUGGCUUAGAAGCAGCCACUCAUUAAAAGAGUGCGUAAUAGCUCACUGGUCGAGUGACUCUGCGCGGAAAAUAUAACGGGGCUAAGCGUAACACCGAAGCUUGGGCUGCACAGCAAUGUGCGGGGUAGGGGAGCGUCGAAUAUGGGGUGAAGUCGCAGCGGAAGCAGCGGUGGACUGUAUUCGAGUGAGAAUGCCGGAAUGAGUAGCGAGAAUUAUGUGGGAAUCAUAAUGGCCGAAAAUCUAAGGUUUCUUGGGGAAGGUUCGUCCGCCCAAGGUAAGUCGGGAGCUAAGCUCAGGCCGAGAGGCGUAGGCGAUGCACAUACGGUAGAAAUUCCGUAACCACCGAAACUUAAACAGAGGGACACUUCGAAAUAGCGGAACCCGGGCGUUGGUAGACCCGGGCGUAAGGGAGCGAAAUUAGAGUAGCGAAGUCCGCGAUGUUCGGAGGCGAGAAAAGCUCUGAGGUAUGCUAAGGUGCCCGUACCGCAAACCGACACAGGUAGAUGAGGAGAGAAUCCUAAGGCCAACGGGAGAAGGGUUGUUAAGGAACUCGGCAAGAUGACCCCGUAACUUCGGAAGAAGGGGAGCCUCGAAAGAGGCCGCAGUGAAUAGGCCCAAGCAACUGUUUACCAAAAACACAGGUUUAUGCUAAAUCGAAAGAUGACGUAUAUGAGCUGACGCCUGCCCGGUGCCGGAAGGUUAAGAGGAGAUGUGAGCCGCAAGGUGAAGCAUUGAAUUGAAGCCCCGGUAAACGGCGGCCGUAACUAUAACGGUCCUAAGGUAGCGAAAUUCCUUGUCAGGUAAGUUCUGACCCGCACGAAAGGCGUAAUGAUUUGGGCACUGUCUCAACAGCCCGCCCGGCGAAAUUGUAGUACUGGUGAAGAUGCCAGUUACCCGCAACUAGACGGAAAGACCCCAUGGAGCUUUACUGCAGCUUAAUACUGGAAUUCGGUAAAUCAUGUACAGGAUAGGUGGGAGACAGGGAAGCAUUGGCGUCAGCCAGUGUGGAGUCGCUGGUGGGAUACCACUCUUGAUUUGCUGGGUUUCUAACCUGCGGCCGUGAAACCGGUCGGGGGACACUGUUAGGCGGGCAGUUUGACUGGGGCGGUCGCCUCCAAAAGAGUAACGGAGGCGCUCAAAGGU